AUUUAGAAUGGACCAUUAUCAUGCACCUGUCUCGGAACUGGAACAUGGGAAUAAAAAUACAUGUCAUAUAUGCACUGAUAUAGGGAAUGGAGGAUGCUUUUCCUGUGGUUCACAUUCAUGCCAGCCAGGACAAAGCACUGUAACACCAGUACCUGUAGUAUGUCACGGGCCGGACCAGUCUGCGGAUCCACUAUCCACACAGCUGUAACAAGGACUACUGGUACCGAGACUCUGCAUGUUACGGCCCCAUCCUGAAGCGAGACAUCUUUGCUGCGUUACUGACUCUGGCAAGACUGGUGAUAGCAGCCAUGGGGGUCGUGGUGGUCUACAUGCCCUGGCAUAGACGACAAUCCCGCAGAGAAUGACCCUAACCCACAUUAUGGUGGCUGAGUGGGCUUGCAGUACGAGGCAGAGGGAGACUCCUCCAACUUCUCCCUACCAUGGAACACAGGCACAGGUGUCCAGGGAGAGGUUUGAGACCAUCUACCACGACUACAGUUCCUGGGGGCUGAUAGGGACACCAUACAAGACAUAGACACCUGAACCGACCUCCUCUUCAGGGCAACGUUUUGCAUCGAGUGACCCUGGCAGCCAAUCAAAGUUUAUGAUCAGCAGACCGGAGAUAAAGUCACUUUGAGAUGUAGUGGAUCAUCCUUUAAAUCAGUGUUUCAUCGACCACUGGAAAAAAGACUGAAACAAGAUCAGUAUUGGACAGUCUCCUCUUUGGGAGCGAAGACUGA
rnacentral:lncRNA from 1 species